rnacentral:lncRNA from 1 species
AGGCCAAGAACAUGGGGUGACGCUGGACAGGUUCCAGCGGAGGACACGACCGCCCACGGCUGAACAGACAAGAGGGCGGAACGAUCGGAAGUAAUGUCCGGGGUCAUGGCAGGAAGGAGGGAGAGGAGGAGGACGGCGGAGGUUGUAAGGAGGAGGAGAUUAAAUUGCCUCCUUUUGCAAUGAGGGAAAAAUAUGGGAUUGGAAGGCGGAAGCCCACAAAAAAUUGGAAAAUGUCGGUUUCGAGAUUUAAGGCAGUUAAGGAGUGAGGUUCAUCUAGUUGGGUUCUUGGUCAUUUUCUUCUUGUCUCCACUUCCACUGUGAGAGAGAGAGAGAGAGAGAGAGAGAGAGAGAUAAGUCUGGACUGUGUGCGUGAGAGAGAGAGAGAGCACUACAAAGUGUGAAAUGUGUGUGAGCGAGAAUCAAAA